rnacentral:rRNA from 1 species
UACGUAGGGGGCAAGCGUUGUCCGGAAUCAUUGGGCGUAAAGAGCGCGUAGGCGGCCCUGUAAGUCCGCUGUGAAAGUCAAAGGCUCAACCUUUGAAUGUCAGUGGAUACUGCCGGGCUAGAGUCCGGAAGAGGCGAGUGGAAUUCCUGGUGUAGCGGUGAAAUGCGCAGAUAUCAGGAAGAACACCCGUGGCGAAGGCGGCUCUCUGGGGACGGUACUGACGC